rnacentral:lncRNA from 1 species
AUAAAUGAACAAACACUUCUACAAAAUCCUUCAGUCAAUUUUAUUUCUUAAUUUUCUCUGAACACAAUUUAUAAUUUGCAUAAAGCAAAUAUAGAAUAUUGGCUUUGGUACUGUUAUAGUGAGGCAUAAAAGAGUUUCUAACAAAAUGAGAGUAUAUCAGAGUAGAAUCAACUAAACCAAUUUCAAAGUUAAAUGACAGUGCACUGCGCUAGGCAUAUAUGUCGUGCACCAGAAAGAUAAAAGAACAAUGAAAUGAAUAACCAUCUUUCUCAAUGUAAGCAACAAAGUAAAACAGAACCUUCAGAAUAACAAUUAGUCAAUUAAUAAUCAAGCUUCGCCAAUGUAUAAUACUAUCAACCAGU